UGUCACCACUUAGAGAAAAAAAAAAAAACCUAACGCCUCUUCUUAUCGCCUCUUUUUAUCCGAUUAUCCUCUGCUUUCCCAGAUCUAAAAGUAGCUCCGGUCGAUCUCUUCCUUGACGCACUGCGAUGAGUCUCUCCGGCCACCGUCGGCGACGGUCCUCCGAGUCAGGUCCAGCAGCUGCAACGUAGAUGGAUGCAACCAGGUGCCAUACCGCCAAGCUCCAUACUGCUAGGAGCCACACGUUCUACAAGCGCAGGAUCUUCACACGCCAACAACUACAGCCAGCGAAUACUCGAUGCAUUGCUGAGUGCUCCUGAAAGAGAAUCCCAGCCACACCUCCACCCGAGGAAACUCAAUGGAGCUUUAUGGUUAGUUUGGAGACAAACUUCAAGACGCUCAACACCAAUGUUGCAAAUUUGAAUACUAACAUGGGAAUGAUUAUGGAAGAGCUGGUUGCAUCACGACAAGCACUUAAUCUGAUCAUGCAGUGGAAUUAGACAACCCUCUGCUGCUGCUGCUACAACUUCUGUUGCUGUUACAACUUCUGCUGCUGCUCAUGCUCCAGCUUCUACAACAGCUGCUCAUGUUCCAGCUUCUACAACUUCUGCUCCUGCUCCUGCUCCUGCAUCAUUAGGUAUUUAAGUUUCGGUCAUGAUGGUUAAGCUUUUUUCUUGAACUUUCUAACGGAUAGACUUUUAUUUAGCAAUUCUUUUGGUAAAAUGUAAGAUAAGACUACUUUUAAUGUUAUUUAGCAAGUCUUUUUGGUAAUAUGUAAACAUCAAACUAAUUAUGGUAAUGUAAAAUAUCGUUAUUUGGAUUUCA